rnacentral:rRNA from 1 species
UACAGAGGGUGCGAGCGUUAAUCGGAAUUACUGGGCGUAAAGCGUGCGUAGACGGUCAUGUAAGUCGGGUGUGAAAUCCCCGGGCUCAACCUGGGAAUUGCAUUCGAGACUGCGUGGCUAGGGUGCGGUAGAGGGAGGCGGAAUUUCCGGUGUAGCGGUGAAAUGCGUAGAUAUCGGGAGGAACACCAGUGGCGAAGGCGGCUCCCUGGUUCAGCACUGACGUUGAGGUGCGAAAGCGUGGGGAGCAAACAGG